rnacentral:tRNA from 1 species
CAGAAAAUAGUUUAUUAUAAAAAUAUUAAUUUUGGAGAUUAAUGAAAAUAGAUUUAUUUUUUCUGA